UACGUAGGCAGCAAGCGUUGUUCGGAGUUACUGGGCGUAAAGAGUGCGUAGGUGGUGCCCUAAGUCUGUUGUGAAAUCUCCCGGCUUAACUGGGAGGGUGCGGUGGAAACUGGGGUGCUUGAGUGUGGGAGAGGUAAGCGGAAUUCCUGGUGUAGCGGUGAAAUGCGUAGAUAUCAGGAGGAACACCAAUGGCGAAGGCAGCACUCUGGGACGUGACUGACGCUGAGACGCGAAAGCGUGGGGAGCAAACAGG
rnacentral:rRNA from 1 species